CGGCUAGUAUCAAGAUAUGGCCUCGGAUAUAAAACGGGUCGUAAGAAAAUAGUCCAUCAUGGCCGACCAAGAAGAUGUUCAAACAACCAAGAGAUAUGUUAGACCAAAGACAGAAUGAGGAGCGUAACUUUUACCACUUUUUUGUGUAGAGCAGUAUGGUACCAGUGGUGCAGCCGACUCUGAAUUCCUGGCUUGUUCUAAUGAAAAAAGGCUGAUGAGGUACUGGAAUCCGAAUGAAAUCAAAAAUGCCAUUGUAUGAGGAUUGACCUGCAAUGCAUGGAAAUCAUCUAACACAACUGCCAACGUCUACCUUGGGGAAAUGAGUGCAAGAUGGAAACAAAGCAUUCAGUGAAACAUCUUGUCAUCUCAAAUAUUUGAUGACUCAAUACUGAUGUGAAGUUGCAGAUUAAAGUCAUCUGUUGGCCCGUGAUGAUU